rnacentral:rRNA from 1 species
CCUACGGGUGGCAGCAGUAGGGAAUAUUGCUCAAUGGGGGAAACCCUGAAGCAGCAACGCCGCGUGGAGGAUGAAGGUUUUCGGAUUGUAAACUCCUUUUGUUAGAGAAGAUAAUGACGGUAUCUAACGAAUAAGCACCGGCUAACUCCGUUCCAGCAGCCGCGGUAAUACGGAGGGUGCAAGCGUUACUCGGAAUCACUGGGCGUAAAGAGCGCGUAGGCGGGAUAGCAAAUCAGAUGUGAAAUCCUAUGGCUUAACGUUAGAACUGCAUUUGAAACUGUUAUUCUAGAGUAUGGGAGAGGUAGGUGGAAUUCUUGGUGUAGGGGUGAAAUGCGUAGAGAUCACGAGGAAUACUCAUUGCGAAGGCGACCUGCUAGAACAUAACUGACGCUGAUGCGCGAAAGCGUGGGGAGCAAACAGGAUUAGAUACCCGGGUAGUC